UUAGCAUAAGCAUUAUACCGUGAAACUGCGAAUGGCUCAUUAAAUCAGUUAUCGUUUAUUUGAUAAUACCUUACUACUUGGAUAACCGUGGUAAUUCUAGAGCUAAUACAUGCUGAAAAUCCCGACUUCGGAAGGGAUGUGUUUAUUAGAUAAAAAACCAAUGCCCUUCGGGGCUUUUUGGUGAUUCAUGAUAACUUUACGGAUCGCAUAGCCUUGCGCUGGCGACGGUUCAUUCAAAUUUCUGCCCUAUCAACUUUCGAUGGUAAGGUAUUGGCUUACCAUGGUUUCAACGGGUAACGGGGAAUUAGGGUUCGAUUCCGGAGAGGGAGCCUGAGAAACGGCUACCACAUCCAAGGAAGGCAGCAGGCGCGCAAAUUACCCAAUCCCGACACGGGGAGGUAGUGACAAUAAAUACUGAUACAGGGCUCUUUUGGGUCUUGUAAUUGGAAUGAGUACAAUUUAAACCUCUUAACGAGGAACAAUUGGAGGGCAAGUCUGGUGCCAGCAGCCGCGGUAAUUCCAGCUCCAAUAGCGUAUAUUAAAGUUGUUGCAGUUAAAAAGCUCGUAGUUGAAACUUGGGCCUGGCUGGCGGGUCCGCCUCACCGCGUGCACUCGUCCGGCCGGGCCUUCCUUCUGAAGAACCUCAUGCCCUUCACUGGGCGUGCUGGGGAAUCAGGACUUUUACUUUGAAAAAAUUAGAGUGUUCAAAGCAGGCCUUUGCUCGAAUACGUUAGCAUGGAAUAAUAAAAUAGGGCGUGCGUUUCUAUUUUGUUGGUUUCUAGAGACGCCGCAAUGAUUAACAGGAACAGUCGGGGGCAUCAGUAUUCAGUUGUCAGAGGUGAAAUUCUUGGAUUUACUGAAGACUAACUACUGCGAAAGCAUUUGCCAAGGAUGUUUUCAUUAAUCAGUGAACGAAAGUUAGGGGAUCGAAGACGAUCAGAUACCGUCGUAGUCUUAACCGUAAACUAUGCCGACUAGGGAUCGGGCGAUGUUCUUUUUCUGACUCGCUCGGCACCUUACGAGAAAUCAAAGUUUUUGGGUCUGGUGGGAUAUUCCCCCCC
rnacentral:rRNA from 1 species